UUCAGAUUGAAUUGUCAGGCUGUUUGAUGAACUAUCACUUCUUCUAAUCAAGAGAUCUCUCUUAUUUAAAUCUAAUCUUUAGCAAUUUUAAUGGUAUCCAUAGCUUUUCUUCUCCUAUGGAAACAAAAGCAAAACCUCUUCUCCAACUUAGGAUGUAUCCUGGUUUUCAUUUUGAGUUCAACACAUCCUUGAAAUAAACCAGUUGGGUUAGCUCAGAAGCUUUAUCUGUUGUCCA